rnacentral:pre_miRNA from 1 species
UCUUAUGAAUGAGCAGAGAACAUGGUUUCUUGAUAUGGAAUCUACUCCUGGUGAAGAUGCUGUGAA